CAGUCGCCGCGGUAAUACGAAGGGGGCUAGCGUUGUUCGGAUUUACUGGGCGUAAAGGGCGCGUAGGCGGGCGAAUAAGUCAGGGGUGAAAUCCCAAGGCUCAACCUUGGAACUGCCUUUGAUACUGUUUGUCUUGAGUUCGAGAGAGGUAAGUGGAACUGCGAGUGUAGAGGUGAAAUUCGUAGAUAUUCGCAAGAACACCAGUGGCGAAGGCGGCUUACUGGCUCGAAACUGACGCUGAGGCGCGAAAGCGUGGGGAGCAAACAGGAUUAGAGACCCCCGUAGUCCCUGUCUCUUAUAC
rnacentral:rRNA from 1 species